rnacentral:lncRNA from 1 species
CGGGGGAUGCCCAGGGUCGGGGGAUGCCCAGGGUCGGGGGAUGCCCCCAUUCGGUGGAAGCCACGCGGGGUUGCAGACAAGCCGGGUCAGCCGUAUAUUUAUUGAGAAUGUUUGUGGAGGGAUAAAAAUAUUUCCACUACUCUAUAAGAAUUUAUAAACCUAUACUCUCUGAUCUGUUAAUAAACGCCUCUAGGACCGUCAUGCCAGGGGAGGGGCUUCCGUAAGAAAAUAGCGAGAUUAAAAAAAGGAAAGCGCUCAGUGUUCCCUGCAGGGCCCUGCCCCGGGGCGCCCUGCCCACGGGGGCCACGGCACCCCCUGCUGGCACGGGGACAUGGGGGGCGCAGGCCAGUGCUGCCCUGGCACCCUGCAGCCCCCACCCCGAGCCCUGGCUGGGCACAGCCCCCGCCAGCCACACCCCACCUGGGGCACCCCGACUUGGGGGCCCUGAUGGGGACAGGACACAUCCCCACAGCAGUGAGCUCCCAGUGAUCCCACUGCUCCCAGUGAUCCCACUGAUCUUACUGCUCCCAGUGAUCCCACUGCUCCCAGUGAUCCCACUGAUCUUACUGCUCCCAGUGAUCCCACUGCUCCCAGUGAUCCCACUGAUCUUACUGCUCCCAGUGAUCCCACUGCUCCCAGUGAUCCCACUGAUCUUACUGCUCCCACUGAUCCCACUGAUCUUACUGCUCCCAGUGACCCCACUGCUCCCAGUGAUCCCACUGAUCUUACUGCUCCCAGUGAUCCCACUGCUCCCAGUGAUCCCACUGAUCUUACUGCUCCCAGUGAUCCCACUGCUCCCAGUGAUCCCACUGAUCUUACUGCUCCCAGUGAUCCCACUGCUCCCAGUGAUCCCACUGAUCUUACUGCUCCCAGUGAUCCCACUGCUCCCACUGCUCCCAGUGAUCCCACUGAUCUUACUGCUCCCAGUGAUCCCACUGCUCCCAGUGAUCCCACUGCUCCCACUGCUCCCACUGCUCCCAGUCCUGCCUGCAUCUCACACUCCCCUGUGGCUCUCCCAUUCCCAGGAGGGGGGUGGGAUCCAUCUCCCCACGGACGCUGUGAGAGGUGACCAGGGCUCACCCUGGGGACACAGUGGGGCUUUUCAGGGAGCAACACAGCUGGGGACAUCCUUGGGGACACAGGGACACUGCACAGAGCCCUGCAGGGUGGAGACGUGGCUGGGGACAUCCCACACGAGGAGGCAACGCAGCUCUGUGGGACAGCAGCGCAGAUGGGGACAGUCUGGGGGGGACAAGCUGCAGUGCUCUGUAGGGCAGCAACACCCACCAGCACACGGUGGGGAACACGGGGACAGCAGUGCUUCGCUGGGAAGCAACAGGGAUGGAGAUAUCCUUGGAGAAUACACAGGGCUGCCAAGAAGCAGCAGGGACAGGGACAUCCUGGGCACACAGGGACACCACAGACGAGCAAGUGGCAGCAGGGGCCAAAAUUCCAGCCAGAGUCGGUGCUGUUGCCAUGGGGUGAGGGGUGCCAUGAGCACAGGACACUUGUUAUUGCUUUACAGGGCCAACAUCACAGCGGGCUGGGGGUGCCCAGCCCCUGAUUUGGGGUUCAAGGGAUUUCCCCCGAUUCCCCAGUCUCCCCAUGCCCCAGCCCUGCUGUCACUCAGUGGGGACAGGCUGAGGACACAAGGCUGGACACUGACAAACUUCAGUCCCCCUGCACUGCUGCUGGCGUGGAGCAGGAUGGUGGCUGUCCCUCCUGCGUCCCCUGUCCCCAGGAACUGCUGCUCCUCCACGCCAGCCAAGGGAAGCAGCCCUGUCCCCGAUAGCAGGGCAGCUGGGCCUUAGGGGCACUGGCACCAGUGUCCCCCUUUCCUCUUCCCUUAAGCCAGGGCCAAGCUGAGCAUAAAGACUGUAAGCAGGGAGCCUGGGGUGACAUGGGGACAAGGGCCAUGCUGUGGGGACCAGGGCCAGGGCCCUUCCCAGAGCUGUGGAGAAACAGGAAACCAAAGCCUGUGGGACCAAACUGUGAGUAGGGGGACCAGGGCAGGGGAUCCCGGGUUGGGUGCUCUGUCCCUCGCUGUCCCCUCGUGUCCCCUCGGGGGGGGGGGGGGGGGGGGGGGGGGGGGGGGGGGGGGGGGGGGGGGGGGGGGGGGGGGGGGGGGGGGGGGGGGGGGGGGGGGGGGGGGGGGGGGGGGGGGGGGGGGGGGGCUGUCCCCUCGUGUCCCCUCGCUGUCCCCUCGUGUCCCCUCGCGUCCCCUCGUGUCCCCUCGUGUCCCCUCGCGUCCCCGCAGGCGCUGGGCGGUGGGAUAAGGCGAUGCCGCAGCGUGAGGUGGUGGGUGGGGGUUGGUGCCGAGUCUGGCAGCGGGGCGGGCAGGGGGGGGGGGGGGGGGGGGGGGGGGGGGGGGGGGGGGGGGGGGGGGGGGGGGGGGGGGGGGGGGGGGGGGGGGGGGGGGGGGGGGGGGGGGGGGGGGGGG